AAUUCUGCAGAGAUCAGUAACAUCAGACGAGCAUUGUCAGACUAGGACAUCACAGUAAACAAAGUCAUAGUAAAUGUGAGCUGCACCUGUUGAACAGUUGAUGAGCUGCAGCACCAGAGGACGCCGAGUCACGAUACCUGAACCACGAGGAAGGAAGUCUCUGAGACACGAGGAGGAAAAAGAGGGAGGGAGAAUUAGUCGCUUAAGUCAAACUUAAGUUCUCAUUUCCGUUGAAGGAGUUUUCGCCCUAGUUCCCAGAUUACUGGAGGAGAAGGCAUAAUUCUUUGAAGGACUAGCUCAAGGAAGAGACUCAGACUUCCCAUCUGCUCCUCUGCCAUUUCCUGAUUCUGUUGACCAGGUGGCAGCAGUUUGGAGUUCUCACCCAGGCUUAACCUUUUUGAAUGAGUCCACAAACCAAGUCAGCCAUCUUGUAGUGAAUCUCUGCUGGGGAACCUUGUUCAACUUCCUCAGUUGGCACAGACUGUAGCACGCUACCACCACUGUUCCCGCACCUCGGUCUCCAUCUGCUCAAUGUUAGCAGCUGAUGGUAGACUUGAAUGAACAGGUUAAGACGCCAUUGCAACCGGACACACCUGGAAGUGUCUGGAACGCUCCAUCAUUAAGUGCCAUUCUUUGUGUUACGAAGA